ACGGCUCAGUAACACGUAGUCAACAUGCCCAGAGGACGUGGAUAACCUCGGGAAACUGAGGAUAAACCGCGAUAGGUCAUAAUUACUGGAAUGUGUUAUGGCCCAAAUCUAUAUGGCCUCUGGAUUGGACUGCGGCCGAUCAGGCUGUUGGUGAGGUAAUGGCCCACCAAACCUUUUACCGGUACGGGCUCUGAGAGGAGGAGCCCGGAGAUGGGCACUGAGACAAGGGCCCAGGCCCUAUGGGGCGCAGCAGGCGCGAAACCUCUGCAAUAGGCGAAAGCCUGACAGGGUUACUCUGAGUGAUUCCCGCUAAGGGAAUCUUUUGGCAUCUCUAAAAAUGGUGCAGAAUAAGGGGUGGGCAAGUCUGGUGUCAGCCGCCGCGGUAAUACCAGCACCCCAAGUGGUCGGGACGAUUAUUGGGCCUAAAGCAUCCGUAGCCGGUCUUGCAAGUCUUCCGUUAAAUCCAGCUGCUUAACAGAUGGGCUGCGGAGGAUACUACAAGGCUAGGAGGCGGGAGAGGCAAACGGUACUCAGUGGGUAGGGGUAAAAUCCUUUGAUCUACUGAAGACCACCAGUGGCGAAGGCGGUUUGCCAGAACGCGCUCGACGGUGAGGGAUGAAAGCUGGGGGAGCAAACCGGAUUAGAUACCCGGGUAGUCCCAGCUGUAAACGAUGCAGACUCGGUGAUGGGUUGGCCUCGAGCCAACCCAGUGCCGCAGGGAAGCCGUUAAGUCUGCCGCCUGGGGAGUACGGUCGCAAGACUGAAACUUAAAGGAAUUGGCGGGGGAGCAC
rnacentral:rRNA from 1 species